AACGCAUAUUGCACUCCCUGGUAUUCCGGGGAGUAUGCCUGUUUCAGUAUCAUGAACAAAUACCUCAGGCCAAAAAGCUCCUUUUUUUUGGACCCUGGAUCUAGGCUGUGAAAUUUAUUCUGCAGCCGACCUCGAACGAGCUUUUGCUCUCUUUUCAGGGUCGGCCAGCCUGAAAUGCAUCCCACCGCGGCAAAGGGAAAGAAAGGCGUGAUAGUUUGACCUCCGAGUCGAUCUUUUCGCCGAAGAAAAACUCUCCCCGCGGCGAUUAGCAGGACCCGACGAAAGCCGACCGGCCGGAGGCAAUUCUCCGGUUGGUUGUCUUUUGAUCUUCAACUUGAUCUGAAAUCAGGUAGGAGUACCCGCUGAACUUAA
rnacentral:misc_RNA from 1 species